CUUCACAUCUCUAUAUUUCUCCAACAAGCUUCUAAUGAGAUAAUAUGGAGAAGAAAUCACUGUUUCUUUCCCUUGUUCUGUCAUGUUUUGGAAUCCUUGGCUUUGAUACCAUGAAAAAUGUGGUUCGGAAGCUUACUUUUCUAUUAGUUGUUGUAUACAUUUGUAGAUACAAGUGCAAUACAAAAAAGGAAGAAAAAUAUUUGCAUCAGAAAUUUAUGCCUACAAAAUUGGGAACAAAUCAGAAAGAAGAUCAGAAAGAAUUACACAAACUCGGUAACAGAUCAAAAAAAUUAGAAAGUUGAGCUGGUGAUGAAUAACGCCUCCCGAUUGCUUGCAUAGCUAGUCAACAAAUACUGCACUACUUACAAGAAUCGAGCUCGGCACAAACAAGCUCCAGGUGGAGUGUUUUGGCAAGCAAGUCAGUAAUAUCAUCAAGUCCUUGCUGAAUCCCUAUGUUGCAAAAAUUUUGCUAUAAAUUUGCACGGAGAAUAGGGGUAAUGUUCCCUAUUCCUCUUGAGACAAUCCAUUGGAGCACAAAAAUGCCCUUUAAAGCAUCAUUAGUUGGGCUAGUUACAAGAUCAACCAGAUGCAAGACAAGAUAGGUGUCUUUGUAAGCAUAUUGAGCACAAAAAUACCCUUUAAAGCGACUGGAAAGGAGUACAUUGGAGUUGAUAUCACUGAAAUAGCUACUGCUGUCAAAGUGGGGAUUUUAGUUUUAAUGCUCUUUCAUAUUGGGAAAAGUGAGUAAGCUAACCAUAUAGUUUCUGCAGCAUGCCAUUCAGCAAUGCUGCAUCGAAGCUAAAAUCCAAAAUUGUGAAGAAAAUGCAGACCCAUGAGCAACAGGAACGUAAAUGAAAUUUAAGCAAGUAAUUCCGACCAUCUGUCUAGAACCAGUGUUUUCCUGUUCCUCUGCACGUACUGAAAUCAAAGUUUCCUCAAAUGGCAGGUUCAUCCCUGAUGCUACAGGUGCUUUGUAUGAUGUCUUCAGAGAAAUGGCACAAUCACAUGCAUCAAAGAGGAAAUGCUAAAAGGAAGAGGAUGCUGACAUACUUAAGAAAGUAUCUGCACGUUUGAUUACAAAAGAAACAGAUUAAAAAGCCUGCUUAGCAUUUGAAAAGGACAUUUCAUUAUUUAACUUGUUUCUGAUAAUGGAAACUAGAUGUCAAAGUUGAUUUUGUAAAUGAUUUUUUUAGUUCUGGUGGUGCAUCAUAAAUCAUGUAGAAGAAAUAGUAUCUAUGCAGAGCAGCUUCUUGUUUACAGGUUUUAUUUUAUGGAGCUGACGGGCACAAGAAAAGUUGUUUCUACCCAUUAAGUGGAUUGGAUAAAGAAUUACAAACUCUUAGUCUUAUGCAUGACAUUUCAGAACCCAACCUUAAGGUAAUGUGAUUAUCUCCUGCAAACUUCAUUUCUAUUCCAUGUUUAAUACUUAAAUCACAUGCAUGGUACUGUUCUCUUUGUAAUUUUAGCCUUUAGUAUCAGAUCAUCUAUUCUAUGGAUGGAUGCACCUUUUGGCUGGCAAUAUAUCAAAUUUUCCAAUUUGAUUGAUUCUAUAAUGUCGUUUUUGUUAGAAAUUCGAAACAAAUCUGUAAUUACUCAUCCUCAUCUUUUUGUGCUACCCAGAGCGUUGUCUCUUUUUCAUAAAAGGUGCUAGAGAUGUUGCUGUUCUAGAUGCAACGGUUGAAUCUGGAAUGACAGGUAAAGAAGUUAUAGGGAAGAGGCAAGAAAACAACAGAAAUAUGGUUGACGCUGUUAAUUUGAAAUAAUCCAUUGGUUCUGAAACCAAAUGUAAUUGACCUAAGUUGUAAUAGAUCGUGGAGAUUGAUCUUGUAAAGGAUACUCUGAUGAGGUUCAGAGAUUUAUGGAAGAGUAUUUGAAUCUCUAACCAAGAAUCUCUAGCUUUCAUUUUUCCUGUGUUGAUUUGUUAAUCAUUCAGAUAAUUAAUAUGAGAUACUGACCCUCUAAUUCAUUUU
rnacentral:misc_RNA from 1 species